rnacentral:rRNA from 1 species
AGUGAACGCUGGCGGUAGGCCUAACACAUGCAAGUCGAACGGCAGCACAGUAAGAGCUUGCUCUUACGGGUGGCGAGUGGCGGACGGGUGAGGAAUACAUCGGAAUCUACUUUUUCGUGGGGGAUAACGUAGGGAAACUUACGCUAAUACCGCAUACGACCUACGGGUGAAAGCAGGGGAUCUUCGGACCUUGCGCGAUUGAAUGAGCCGAUGUCGGAUUGGCUAGUUGGCGGGGUAAAGGCCCACCAAGGCGACGAUCCUUAGCUGGUCUGAGAGGAUGAUUAGCCACACUGGAACUGAGACACGGUCCAGACUCCUACGGGAGGCAGCAGUGGGGAAUAUUGGACAAUGGGCGCAAGCCUGAUCCAGCCAUACCGCGUGGGUGAAGAAGGCCUUCGGGUUGUAAAGCCCUUUUGUUGGGAAAGAAAAGCAGCAGGUUAAUACCCCGCUGUUCUGACGGUACCCAAAGAAUAAGCACCGGCUAACUUCGUG